rnacentral:rRNA from 1 species
UACAGAGGUCUCAAGCGUUGUUCGGAUUCAUUGGGCGUAAAGGGUGUGUAGGUGGCGCCGUAAGUCGGGUGUGAAAUUUCGGAGCUUAACUCCGAAACUGCAUUCGAUACUGCGGUGCUUGAGGACUGGAGAGGAGACUGGAAUUCCUGGUGUAGCGGUGAAAUGCGCAGAUAUCAGGAGGAACACCAAUGGCGAAGGCAGCUCGCUGGGACGGUACUGACGCUGAGACGCGAAAGCGUGGGGAGCAAACAGG